CACAGGGCCCCUAUUGUUGUUGCCGUUGUUGUUGGCUGUGGUAGUCGUGCUGCUACCAGUCCCAAUGGGGCCACGAAAUUGAUUUGUGUGUUUGUGCAUUCUCCUCCGUGUUUCUCAGAAAUCGAUUUUCACUCGCCUCCACGACUUUUCGCAUUUCCUUCUCGUCUCCAUCGUAUCGGUAAUAUUCACAACAACUAUCUCUUAUAUUUCUCGAACUACAUCCUUCUUCUACUUUUCUUUUCUCUUUGACUUCUUUCAAGUGUAUCCCUUUUGUUGAAUAAAAUAUUUCCUUCCUUUAUAAUGAGACUCCUUUCAAUGCUUAAAAGCCGAAGAAUCAAAUAAGGACUUUAUCUCUUCCAAAACAUUAAAAUUCCUUUUGGUCUUCCUAAGAAACCAUCUAGAAAAGUGUUCGCGAGUUGUUAUGAUCACUCGUGAAUGAUCCACCGAACGAUCGAUUCCUAUUUCCGAUAUUUCCUUCGUACUCGAUUCGUGUGUCUACCAGGAAAGAAUAUUGUCGGUCUAGAAUCAUUUACAUAUAUAUAUAUAUAUAUAUAUAUAUAUAUAUAUAUACACUCUAAUAACAAUCAGAAAUUUCUUCUUCGAUUCUUUUCUACGUGCCCAAUCGUUAUUCCUAACCUUUUUCUAACAACACGAGAAACGUGCCACUUGCGUGAAAAGGUACGCUCGACUAACGGCCGACGCGUCUCAUACUUAUCUCUCUCUCUCUCUUUCUUCUCUCUCUCUCUCUCUCUCUCUCUCUCUCUUUCUCCCUUUCUCCCUAUCUUUAAAUUGUGCUUUAUCAAUUCGGUGCGUUUGCACGGAAGCACGAUAACAGAACGAAGAGAGAAGAACUACGCGAUGGCAACGACGACGACGACGACGACGACGACGACGACGACGACGAUAAAAUCCGAGACAGCCGUAAGGGAGUCGUCGCUUCUUUCGAGUUAGCCGCGUAGUGGUAUCAUAAAACGAUAAGUAUCCUCCUCCUCCACCUCCUCCUGUUCCUUUUCCUCCCUUUCUCCCCUCCCCGUUUCUUUCCAGUAACAAUCCUUCGUCCAAUUUCGAAAGCUGCUUCGUGAGCCGUCUCCUAUCAAACACGGCCGUUUGAUCGUAAAACUAUCGUUUUCGUUGCAACGUGCGUUCUAGUAGAAGCGACAGCUCGAUUUCGUAUCGUUUUCAACGAACACCCUUAUACGACCGAUAAUGCGAUCGUCGAUAGGAAACAAAGUCAUUCGGAUGUUACCGGAUAUUGUCGUGUUACAAUGAAGAUAAACGAAAGAAUAUUUCGAAAGAGAAUCGAAUCACCAAUGGAGGAAUCGUAUUACAAACACAACAUACGAAUACAAUGGACAAUCGAAUCUCGCGCGAAUUGGAAUUUUAAAUCGAUCGGAAAUUUUUCGUGUAUAAAUCGAUCUUGAUAUACAUAUAUAUAUAUAUAUAUGCUCGAUUUCGUACAUGCUUCGUAAAUGAUCUCGCUACGAAGCAUAAUUUUAUAUAAAAUAUAAAUUAUUUUUUGUGCCAAUUUAAAAGAGGGUAUUGAAAAAAAAAAAAGAAAAAAGAAAGAAAGAAAGAAAGAAAGAAAGAAAGAAAGAAAAAUAAAGACAAACAGAGAAAGAAGGAGAUAAAGAAGAGAAAGAAGAAAAGAAAAAGCAUCUAUGAAACUUGGAAAACAUAAAACGGGAUGAAAGUCGAACUUCUUUUAUCGUCCCUUUUUUUACAUCGUCGUAUCGUUAUUACGUUUAUUAUGAACGCUGUAUAGUUCCUCCGAACGAAUCUUAUAUCUUCGAGAAAUAAUUUUAAAUACCGAGAAAUAAAUUCGAACAGACUGUGGAAAAAGUAAAUUUCUUUGUACGAUUGAUAAUAAUUUCGGAUAAAUUUGUUGUGAAAGGAAGAUCGAAAAAAAAAAAAAAAAAAAACAAAAUCGAUUUAUUACGACAAAAAAUGCAUGUAGUCAAACACGUUCAUAACUAUUAACCAUUAUUAUUUCACCUAUAAGUAAAAGAAAAGUUAUAAAGAUAAAAAAAUCCGAAGUUUUUCCGUGAUUUAUCUUUCGAUGUAUAUGUAUAUACUUUAUAAUUUGCAUAGCUUUAUGUAAUAUCUGUCGAAUAAACCUUAAUUCUAAAGUGACGAUAAUCCGAACGAGAACAAGGUAAGAGUAGAGAGGUUUAGAAGAGGAAAAGAGAGGGAAGAAAAAGUGAGAAAAUAAAGAGAGAGAGAGAGAGAGAGAGAGAGAGAGAGAGAGAGAGAGAAGGAUAGAAGGAUAGAAGGAGAGAAAGAAAAGUCCACGUAUAAUGGCACCCGUGGGAACAGCUUAGUAAUGGCGUGUACCAAAGUGCAUAAGAGGCCCCAAAGGAGGGCUAGGUUUAAGGAUAAGGCAAGAGAGUGGGUAGACCUUCUCGAGUAGUGGAUAGAAAUUCAGUGAGCUUGCAAAACCCCUUGAGCACGCGCUCGAGAAGGCGGCUCGUCUUCCUCUUUUCGUAGCAGCCAAGCUUACGAAAGGAAAAUAUAGGAGUACACACUUUCCCAACGACGUUUGUGCUUUUCCGCGCUGAAAAAGAUUUCCUCGUCGUCUCUAUACGUAUCUGCCUACCUGCGUAAUUCAGACAUGUGUACGUAACGCAACUACGUAUGUAUUUAUAUAUAUAUGUAUAUAUGUAUGUAUGUAUGUAUGUAUGUAUGUAUGUAUGUAUGUAUGUAUGUAUGUACGUAUGGAUAAGAGCAAACGUCUGACUUUACUUUGCUCGUGAUACGCUCUUUUCAAGUUGAACGACGAAAUCGAACAACGAAACGAAGUAACGAUUUGGCUUAUCUCGAUUUUCUUCUCGUUGAACUUAAACUUCCUGAUAUUUCCACCGAUCCAAAAUUGAUCCCCGUCGAAUCGAAUUCAUUUCAUAUCGUUUCAUUUCGUUUCAUUUCGUUUCGUUUCGUUUCGUUUCGUUUCGUUUCAUUUCGUUCGUUCGUUCGUUCCAGUUACAUGCGAGUGAUCUAUUUUUUCUUCUUUCUCUUUUUUUCCCUUUUUCCGUUUUCUCCUCCUUCGCUUUUUUCUUUUCUUUUUUUUUUUUUUCUUUUUUCUUUUUCUUCCAAACGGAACAAAACUUUUGCAAUUGAAAUCGUUCGAAUAGAAAAAAUAAACGCACGUUAUUCGAUAUACAUACAUAUCAAUAUUCACGUAACAUUCGUCAUCGAAUUGACCGCCGUUUUGAAAAAAAAAAAAAAAAAAAAAGAAAAAAAAAAAAAAAACGCAUAUAUUUUUGUUAACGUGUUAAACGACGAAUAUAAAUCUAAAAAGUGACGAUGGAUCUUUCCAUCUCGCCACGUUAAAAAAAAAAAAGAAGAAGAAGAAGAAGAAAAAAAAAAGAGAAAGAACAAAAAGAAAAAACAGAAAUUCCGGAAAAAGUAAUUAACUGUAGUAAUAGCGAUAAUUACCGGUGCAGUUUAACGCCACGUUAGGAAAUAGGAGACGAAGAAAACUGCUCGCUCGUAAAAGCGCGAUAGACGAGUACAUGUGUAUGAUUGCUACUCAAAUAUUCAACCGUCUGUGUACGUUUUUCUGCGUGGAUGUAUCUUCCAUUUUCACUGUCUCAUUCUUUCUCACUCUCACUCUCACUUUUUCUCUCUUUUUUUCUCUGUAUAUUUCUUUCUCUCUCUCUCACUCUCUCUCUCUCUCUCUUUCUCUCUCUUGAACGUGCUUGAAUUGCUAUCCAAAGGGAAAGAGAGAGAGAGAGAGAGAGAGAGAGAGAGAGAGAUCGAGUCGUGUUGAGUAUGUUGAGGCCAUACUUGCUUCUAACGAGGAUUGGUCUCUUUAGGUAGAAAUACAUAUAUGUAUGUAUGUGGGUACGUAUGUAUGUAUGUAUGUAUGUAUGUGUUGUAUAUGUUAGAGGAUAGUAGAGGGCGAAGGAAAAUCUCGCCAACUUCAUAGCUUCUACCUGGAACGCUUUACGAAGGACUUAAGGGAAGAACAUUUUACAGGUGCAGCGGUUGUAUCUACUAUCUCAAAGCAAAACUUCUACGAUAUUUCUGUUCCUUCCAUACCUUCCAUUUUCAUGUCUCUCUCUCUCUCUCUCUCUCUCUCUUCUGUACUUUCUCCUUCUCUCUCAUUCCAUUUUAUUAUUCCCUUAGCUUCAGAAGCUUUCCAGCAUAACUGUCGCGUAGUUUCUAGUAAACAAGUUCGCCGAUAUGACGUGAUACCAGAAGAAAAUUGCUACGAAAUAAUCGCGAUAUUAUAUAUGUAUACGUAUAUACACCAUUCUGUAUAUAUGCUAUAAUAUAAUAUAAUAUAAUAUAAUAUAAUAUAAUAUAUAUAUAUAUAUAUGCAUCUAAUGUAUAUAUGUUGCUCCACGAACCGUUCAAAAAUUUACAUUUAAAAUAUAACAGAUUGUAUUUUAAUCUCGACUAUAUCCGUGCGUACCUUCGCCUUUAAAUCCUUCCCCUUUUGAACUUUUUAUUCUUUUUUAACGAAAGAAGAGAUAAAACGUUAUCCCGCAAUGUUUGUGAAUUCCUACCUCGUGAAGAAAGUUUUCUUACAUAGCGUCGGAUUUGCAAAGGUAACGUAAAUUAUCGGCCUAGGAUAAAUUGAGUUCGAAAAGUGGGAUUAAACCUGGUGGAAAAUCGAAUGUUACUAUGUACUUUGCAAACGCCUUGAAAAGUUACGACACAAAAACUUGGAAAUAACGAGAAAGAAAGUCACGAUGGUACCCAUCACCUUUAUAUACCAACGCAAGUCAUAUAGGAUUUCUCUUAUUGUUGGGAAAGAGAAAAACGAAUGUAAAAGCUACGAAACGAAGAGGAGUCAUCGAAGUGGCAAAAAAAAAAAAAAAAAAAAAAAAAAAAAAGAAAUAAGAAGAGAGGGAGAGAGAGAAAGAGAGAGAAAUACGAAAAUAAUCGAAGGAGAGGCAAACCAACGGAGAAGUUAAUUACAAGAACGAUAAGGUGAAACGAAGUGGAAGAAAAAUUUCAAUUUCCAACGAAAUACGCGGACCGUGUCUUCCGGUACAACGAUCCCACUCAGCGUAAACGCAAUUAUUAAUUGUAAUGCCCUCGUGUAGCCGCCUUGAUUAGCACGAUUCUUUUUUUUCUUGUUUUCCUCUUCUUCUUCUUCUUCUUCUUCUACCUUUUUUUUUCCCUUGCUCGGUCAUAAUGAAAGUAGCCGUGCCAUGAAAGUAGCUCGUUCGUGUAAGGCGGUUGAAAUAUAAAAAUUUUAAGCGACUACGAUCAAAAAGAUAAAGAUAAAGAUAAAGAAAAAGAAGAAGAAGAAGAAGAAGAAGGAGCCACGUUUUUACCUUCGAAUUUUAACCAAUCAAGAUAUCUUAAGAAAUCUUAUCGGAUUUUAUUUCGAUAAGAUUCCUCUCGCUUUUCGCUUUCUUCUCAUAAACAUAAGUAUACGCGUAUAUAUAAUACAUAAAUGCUAUUAGUUAUAUAAUUUUUCGUCUAAGACGGAAGAACUAUCUACGUCUAUUAUUAAAUAUUAGCUUUAUGCUCAUUUUUAUUCCUAUAACGUCGUAUUUAGAAAAAAAAAAAAAAGAAAGAGAGAGAAAAAAAAAAAGAAAGAAAUAUAAGUAUUGAGAAAUGUAUGAACGUGCGCGUUGAUCCUUGAAAGAAAAGAAAAGGAAAGAAAAAAAUUAAAAAAAAGAAAAAGAAAAAAAAAAAGAAAAAGAAUGAUGGAAUUUCAAAGAAAAUGAUGAUCGAAUCGAGAAAGGUAAGAGAGUUCGCAAUCGUUAUCGCCAUUGCCUUUUAUCGCGUUUUUUAAAGGGAACAAAUGAAAUUUCCACGUUUCUCUUCGAUGCGACAAAGUGGCUCAUAAUUCUUCUUCGUAGUAUCGCAUGUUUCCACGAGGAUCCGCAUAGUUGACGACAACGAAGUCUUCGAUUUUCGAACUAUCGUCUAACUAAUUGCCCACCUCCCCCCCCCUUCCCCCUCCUCCUCCCCCGUUAGAAUCUCACAAAUUUAUCGAAGUUAUGCUUGCAAUUAUAUACGAAGAAAAAAAAAAAAAAAAGAAAGAGAAAAAUAAAAAUUUAAGAAGUAAUUAUAAUUGAAAGUAAUAAUCAUAAGAAAGUAAUUAUGUUACGUUAGUAUGUCAACAAUAAAUAUAUUUUAAAUGUAUUCGAGUAAAAGGAAGAUCCCAUUUAAAUAUAUUGACAACGAAGCCGAAACCAAAGUCGAUGAAAAAUUGGUAUUAAGUAAGAGAAACUUUUUUCUUAUAAUCCUCCAUCACCAUCCGCCUAUCCAACGUCGUUUCUCGAUGAAGAGCGAUGCUCGGAGCAAAAGGUCGCCAUUAUUUUUCACACGUCUCAGACUACACUUUACGACGUCGAACGGGCUUAAAAGCAAAUGCGGCAAAUAAAUAACAUAAGUUAAAUAUUUACGAGAUACAUCCUUCUUUUUCGACAUUGCAAAUGACCGAUCAUCAACAUUCCAUGUAUAUUAAACGAAACUAUAGAUAAUUACAUAUAUUGAACCUAUCAAAAUAUAUUAUCGACCAGCUGUUGAUCAUUAAGAUUAUACAAUCGAUAAAUGUAUGUAUAUAUAAAUAUCGAUGGUAUUUCAUCAUAAUCGAGGAAAUUGAAAAUAAACGAACUUAUAACGAUAACAUCAUGACGAAUACCGAAGCGACUACGUUUCAAAUACGUAUCAUUUGACGUGCAUUCGAUAGUACCGAAAUGAAACGAUGAUUAAACGGACUUUGUUCUUCGACAUGACAUAGUAAUUGAUACCAAACGAACCACAGAGACUUCAUAUUCCCUUGGUGACGAAAACAUAUUGAUUCGUCGGACGAUAAAUUCAAUCAAGUGAUAAAAGAGGAUAAAAAAAAAAAGAAAAAAAAAAAGAAAGAAGAAAAAAUAAAUAAAGAAAAAAAACGUCUAUUUGAAAUACUAUUAUCGUACUAAUUUCAUUUAUCCAAAGGAUUCUCUUUGAGACGUAACAGAGUUGAACGAAUCUAAUGCUAUAUGUAUAGUUGAAAAGGAUAUUUCUUUGAAAAGAUAAAAGGCUUGUUUUUUUCUAACUAUCUUUUCUCUCCCCUCCUCUCUCUCUCUCUCUCAUUUUUUCUAUUUCUUUGGAACGAGUUUACAGACGCAAGAUAAUAUAAUUGGGUAAAGUAAUAGAAGAAGAAAGAAAGAAAGAAAAAAAAAAAAUAGAACAAAACAGAACAAAACAAAACAAAACCGAGUACUGCCUUUCGCUGGCUCAUUUCCGCAUCGCCGUGUAUCUUUUCCAUGAGAUGAAACGCAAAUUACCGAGCAUCUCUCUCUCUCUCUCUCCCUCUCUCUCUCUCUCUCUCUCUGAUUUCUAGACCAACGGAUGAGAAAUCUUCCACGAAAAGCGUAAUAACAAUGAGACAAAAUAUAACGAGGAAAAAACGAGGAUCGAAAGGGAUGUUCUAACGGAAAGGGAUAGGAAGGGAGAGAGAGAGAGAGAGGGAGGAAGGGAGGGAAAGAGCGGGGAAAUAUGAAUAUAAGCAAAAAGGAAAGAAAGAGAGAAAGAAAGAAAGGAAGAAAGAAAGAAUAACAGAAAGAGAAAGAGAUAAAGGAACGAAAAAGGGCAACGAAAGAGGAUAAAGAUCCUUCUACUCCAUUCAUGGAUAACCUUGACCAUUGUUGAAGCUUGCUCUAAUGCCUACCGAUCCUUGCAGGUUCAUUUUUUUUUUCUCACCCUUGCUUUCCUAACGAGCGUCAUUCCCAUAAAUUUUCUUACCCUUCCUGGGAUCGUUAAAAAUCGUCCUAUGUACUCUUACUUAGAUCUUUUAAAAAUUCUUAUUAAAACGGCUACCCUUCAAAGAAAAAACAAAAAAAAAAAAAAAAAAAAAAAAAAAAAAAAAAAAAAAAAACAAGAAAAAAAAAAAGAAAAAAAAAGUGAGAGAUACUUUGUCUCUCCUUGUUUGUCAAUGGAUUUGAAAGUGGUAUAUAUAGAAUGGAGGGAUAGAGAGAGGGGGAGGGGAAUAGAGAGAAGAGGACAUCUAGAAAUAUUGAUGAAAGCAAGGACAUGGAGAUAAAGGAAGGAAUCACCGUUAACGUUGGAUUGAAUCAACGCAACAUCUCGUCUGGUUCCUCGUUUCCGGCAACAAUAUCGACGUACCCAACCAUCGAGCCAAGUCGACUAAUGAAUCGAGCUUCGACGUUCCUCGUUAACGGCAAUUAUCAAAGGAAUCGAUAUAUGUAUAUAGAGAAAAAUGUUCGCGGCUAAAGUUCGUUAGCAGUCAACGCGGUAGCUGUUUUUUCGUCGCGGAAACUAACGAUCUUCGUUCUUUCUCUUUUACUCCUUUUUAUCGACGUCAAAUCAUGACGGGUGGCUUCAUCGUUGAACGCAUAGAAAACGAUUUUCUUUUCUUCCUCUUUUUUUUUCCUUGUUUUUCUUUUUUUUUUUUUUUCUUUUUCCUUUCUUUCCCUCGAAUGAAUUUUAUAGUCAAAGGAGAAAAUAUCGUAAAUUUUCUUUUUUUUUUUUUUUUUUUUAAGAUCGUUAAACGAUCGUAAGAUUUCUGCGAAUCGUUUAUGAUGACUUGUUUUAUACACGAAUUAACUUCUUUCUCUCUCUCUCUCUCUCUCUCUCUCUCUCUCUCUCUCUCUCUCUCUCUCUCUCUCUUCUCUUCUCUUUUUCAAAUCGUUUUAUCUUUUUAAUAAAAUAAAAUUCUUACUUUCUUUUUUAUUUAUUUCUUUCCUUUUUUUUUUCGUGCAAGAUUUAUAUGAUCCCUUCUUUCUGAAAAAGUCAUAUUUUUUAACUUUAAGAAUUUAUAUGAAAAAUCAGAUAUAAAUAUAUUUAUACCUAAUAAAAGUGAGAGAGACAGAGGGACAGAGGGGGAGAGAGAGAGAGAGAGAGAGAGAGAGAGAGAGAGAGAGAGAGAGAGAAAGAAGAAACCUGUGUACACGUAUGUGAAAGUAUAAAGUGAUUAAAUAUAAAGUAGAAAGUUCGUUUAAAAUAGUUUUCAAACGAAUUCGAAAAAUAUCUUUAUUUAUGGCCAAAUAUUUCUAAUUUUAAUUCGUAAGUUCUCCAAAAUGUGAAUGUCAACGAUUCAAAUUGUAGACCAUAAAUGCGAUCGUAGAUCGGAAACAUA